rnacentral:tRNA from 1 species
GAGGGGAAGGUUAAACCAACAAGAACUGCUAAUUCUUGCAUCUGAGUCUAAGAGCCUCAGUCCCCUU